CCUACGGGGAGCAGCAGUGGGGAAUAUUGCACAAUGGGGGAAACCCUGAUGCAGCGACGCCGCGUGAGUGAAGAAGGAAUUCGUUACGUAAAGCUCUAUCAGCAGGGAAGAAAAUGACGGUACGUGAGUAAGAAGCCCCGGCUAACUACGUGCCAGCAGCCGCGGUAAUACGGAGGGGGCAAGCGUUAUCCGGAUUUAAUGGGUGUAACGGGAGCGUAGACGGUUCGCCAAGUCUGGAGUGAAAUGCCGCGGCUUAACUGCGGAAGUGCUGUGGAAACUGGCGAACUAGAGUGCGGGAGGGGUAAGCGGAAUUCCUAGUGUAGCGGUGAAAUGCGUAGAUAUUAGGAGGAACACCGGUGGCGAAGGCGGCUUACUGGACCGUAACUGACGUUGAGGCUCGAAAGCGUGGGGAGCAAACAGGAUUAGAUACCCCUGUAGUC
rnacentral:rRNA from 1 species